GACGAACGCUGGCGGCGUGCUUAACACAUACAAGUCGAGCGGUAAGGCCCUUCAAAAUACACGAACGGCGAACAGGUGAGUAACACGUGAGCAAUCUACCCUCCACAUCGGGAUACCCCCCGGAAACGGGAGCUAAUACCGGAUACGACCACUUCAGGCAUCUGAUGGUGGUGGAAAGUUCCGGCGGUGAAGGAUGAGCUCGCGCCCUAUCAGCUUGUUGGUGAAAUAACAGCCCACCAAAGCUUCGACGAAUAGCCGGCCUGAGAAAGUGACCGGCCACACUAAAACUGAAACACAGCCCAGACUCCUACAAAAGGCAGCAAUAAAAAAUAUUGAACAAUAAGCGAAAGCCUGAUCCAGCAACGCCGCGUAAAAAAUGACGGCCUUCGGGUUGUAAACCUCUUUCAGUAAAAACGAAGCACAAGUGACAAUACCUACAGAAGAAGCACCGACCAACUACGUACCAGCAGCCGCGGUAAUAC
rnacentral:rRNA from 1 species